ACCCUCAUAAUUAAGGAGGGCCUCCUCAUUUCCAGAGGCCAAUUCUUAGGCCUGACCCCUCACCCUCUCAAAGCCUCUCAUACUCUGAGAUUCAGAGCUCUCAUCCUCACAGAGAAGCUCUCUCUAUCCUCUUCAACAUCUCAGAUAAAUACAAUAUCAAUGUGGACGUAGCCCAAACAUUAGGAUGAACCACGAUACAUCUUGUGUUAUUUACUUUCUUGCAGAUUCACGGUCAGAUUUACAUUAUUCCAAAACCUCCGGUUUUGUACAUCAACAGUAACAUUAUUAGUUAUCUUUGGAAUUAUGUCGAAAUCAAGGGGAGUAUCCUAAAGUAUAUUUGCUUGAUCUUAAUGUACUAUUUUUUUCUGCGAUUAAGAGCAUUUUUCCCAUUAGGUUUUUUUUAUCUAUGAGGUUUUGACGAGGCACCCACCUUGGGUUGAUAUAUUCCUAACGACGUCCACUAGACGUUUUAUUUGACUUUGCAUUUCUCACACAUUUUUCCUUAAACUAUGAAUUUUGUUCCUACUCAGGUUUUACCAUAGCCAUUGGGUUUUUUGUGAGACUUAGUUUCAGUUUUUUAUGAGACUUAGUUCCAUAUGCAAGUUCCUACUUUACUUUAAGACUAGCAUGUUCCUAGAAUCAAUGCUGACAAGUCGACUUCCUCAACUCUACAUGAUGCCGGAUCUACUUGAGCAUUUACACACUCAAGGAGAAAUGUUAUAAACUUUGUAUUUAAGUAUGAUUGUGUAAAUUCUAUAUUAGAUUUGAUACUAGUUAUUCUUCCCUAUUAGGACUUGUUUUUCUUAGAGGAGAAUGAUUUUUCCCUCCCUUCUUACUAUAAAUAAAGGUACUACGUAAGGGGAAUAAUACAUCAUCUACACAAUCCUACAAACACAUCUCUCUAUACUCUCUCACUGCCACGCCCUUCUUUCCCCUGUCAGAUUAAAACAAGCCAUAACAAAAACCUAGUUAACUUAAUGUUUCUUUACAAGUUAUAACUAAAUAUGUGUAGCAGAUGACUAUAAUGAUUAUGCAUUUUAGCAUGGAUUUGAUUCCCACUGAUUUCCUCUCCCAAACAUUUAAUAAAUUUAACGCUAUUAUUUGUCAAAAAAAAAACUUAAUGCAUGUAACCUAGUGUAGUCGACAAUCUCCAAACGAUCUUUCAUUUUUUAUGACUCUAAUAUGGUCAUUUAACUAGGUCUGGCAAACAGGUCGUGUUUAUCGUCUUUCGUGUAACACUUGUUAUCUUAAUGGGUUGUGGUGUGUCACAUCCCUUAUCUUAACGGGUCCUUAACAAGUCGGAUCACUUUACCCAAUAGGUAAAAUGACUAGACCUAUUAUGACUUGUUAAGAAUUUCUUUUUUCUUAAAUUUGCACAUACCACAUUGCCACAUAAAUAGUACUUCAAAACAUAAAAAAAUAUAUAUGUCGUUAAGUACUACAUUUACACUUCAAAAUAAGAGCCUAAUAAAAAAGCACACUAAUAGUCUACUGUAAAAUAUCAAAUGUGCAAGGAUAUGCAAAAUGGAGUUUUUCUUUUCAAGGUUGUGAAGCCUUUCUCAGAAGUUAAAACCUUGUCGAUGAAACUCAAAGCUUGCAUGUUAUUCCUUUUACAAAAUUCUUCAAUUUUCAUUGAUCAUCAUGAGAAAAUUGUAUUGGAACUUUGACUUGAUCUAUUACCUUCAAGAGUCCGCAUAAAAUAAUUAUAGAAAAGCCUUUUAAGGGUAUAAAAUUAUUAAAUUAAUAUUUUGCUUAUCUUGUAUUGAGUUACUAAUGUAUAUACCCGGAUCAAU
rnacentral:lncRNA from 1 species